rnacentral:lncRNA from 1 species
GGCUAUGUGACAAACUAACCCUAGAGCCAAAAUCCUCCUUGUCCUCUUACCUGGUGCCCUUUCUGCGAUGCCUUUAGGGUGAGUCAAGGCUAUGAUCUCCACCUUCUGGGGCUGGUGUUUGAGCUAUGUCCUACCUCAGUGCUGAGACUCUUUUGCCUCUGUAGAGGCCCUUUGCCAUGACGCGAGUGACGAUGAGAACUAAAAUCAACUAGCCUCUGAAACGUUCUUGUUCCCAAGCACAGUUUUUUCACUGGCUUGCUUGAACUCCUAGUUUUUGGGCGAGAAGCUAUUGUUUCUCUGUGCUUUUAAUAAGAGGCUUUCUCUGGAGCCAAGUCAGGAUGGCAAGAUUGAGCUGGGCAAGGCUAUCGAGGAGGAAAUUCAGUGUUCCCAGCUGGGUGUCUGACCCUUGGAGCCCGGGCCAACUGAUCUGAAGCGGCUGUAAAAGCUUUAUUUCGCAGCAUCGCUGUCUUCCCUGCUCGCAUUCUAGGCACGGUGUUUCUGCUGACAGCGUCUUCCACCUCCUCAGCAGAAGCUGCUUCUUUCUUUAAACGUAGUACAGGCUGGACGCAAAGAAAUCAACUGUUAGCGGUGCUUUUAGCUAUUUAAAUGGGGAGAAAAACAGCCACUGUUUCUUUCUUUGUCUUUUGUUUCUUUGGCUCCUCUCCCAUGUCCUUAAUUGCCAAGCCGCUAGCGGCUCUGGUGACGUGUCCCGUGGGUGUCUGUGCAGUGACGGGGCUGCCUCAGCCCUGUGUACCCCAGGAGAGACAUUUGGGGGGCUCUUUGCUGCUACCACAGGGCGCAACCUGCGGGUCCUGGGGCAGGCAGGAUGAGUGCUGCUGGGCCCGGAGGGUAGGCCUGGCCUGAGAGGAGUUUGGGGCUUAAAGCAGGCUUGUCCUGCCCCAGCCUUCUCCAGAACCUGUGUGCCUGGCUCUGGAAAGCCGUGACAAGACAUAAAAUGACUCGCAGCUUGCCACGAGAGCUGCGGUGGUGGAGGAAUGGCCGCCUCAAGGGGCUGAGGCCAGGCACCAUCACGGGCAGGACUCGAGAGACGAGGCACGAUCUUGGCACAGACAGAGAAGGGAAGGGGAAGCGCUGCUCUGCUGGCCCUGAGCGGUGCAGCCCCAGGAGAAAAAAAAAUCUGUGUUUCCUUCCGCUGAUGUCCACGCUGAAGGUGCAGAAGGGUUCCGUGCUGUUGCUUGGGUCAGCCUUGUUGCCAGCGUACAGAGCCGAGAUAUUCUGCGGAUAGGUGAUUUAAGCCACGUCAGAACCACCGCUGUGGCGUGUGCCAGCGUCGGACGCCCGUUCGACUGGUCGGGCGGAGCAGGUGAAUUGAAUUUGGUGCUGGGUGGCGAGGUGGUGUUGGGGGAAGAGCUAGGCUAAGGAGAGCUUCCUCUUGCUCUGCCCCUUCCCAUCUCAAAUGGCCGCUUCCUGGGGAGAUGGGCUCGUUGGGAGGUUAACUACAACGUUACAGUGAGGAUGAGGAAUCCUCUUUAGUCCCGUAGGUAUUUGCUGCCAGGCGGCAGCGUUGAUUUCAGAAAUUGUAUUUCAAAAAGGAUAAAGAAAGCAAAUCUGUAUUCUUUGACAUACCCUCUUUUCUCGGAGAGUAGAUGUAGGAGCUUCAGCAGUGCCCUUCCUCCGGAAACGAUUCCCAGUGUCUGCUCAGACACUGAGGAGGAAAAUGGAGGAGAGCCACCCGCUAUAAAUAAAGGAAAGAAGGGCUCAUGGAUUAAGGGAGAA